CUGGCCGUAAACGAUGAACACUAGAAGUUGGGGGAAUCGACCCCUCCGGUGUCGUAGCUAACGCGUUAAGUGUUCCGCCUGGGGAGUACGCACGCAAGUGUGAAACUCAAAGGAAUUGACGGGGGCCCGCACAAGCGGUGGAGUAUGUGGUUUAAUUCGAUGCAACGCGAAGAACCUUACCAAGGCUUGACAUCCUGCGAAUCUCCAAGAAAUUGGAGAGUGCCUUCGGGAACGCAGUGACAGGUGGUGCAUGGCUGUCGUCAGCUCGUGUCGUGAGAUGUUGGGUUAAGUCCCGCAACGAGCGCAACCCACGUUUUUAGUUGCCAGCAUUCAGUUGGGCACUCUAGAAAGACUGCCGGUGACAAACCGGAGGAAGGUGUGGACGACGUCAAGUCAUCAUGCCCCUUACGCCUUGGGCUACACACGUACUACAAUGCUGCGGACAAGGAGUAGCGAUCUUGCGAAAGUUAGCUAAUCUCGUAAACCGUGGCUCAGUUCAGAUCGUAGGCUGCAACUCGCCUACGUGAAGGAGGAAUCGCUAGUAAUCGCAGGUCAGCAUACUGCGGUGAAUACGUUCCCGGGCCUUGUACACACCGCCCGUCACACCAUGGAAGUUGGCCAUGCCCGAAGUCGUUACUCUAACCUUUUGGAAGAGGGCGCCGAAGGCAGGGCUAAUGACUGGGGUGAAGUCGUAACAAGGUAGCCGUAGCGGAAGCUGCGGCUGGAUCACCUCCUAA
rnacentral:rRNA from 1 species